AACGCACCUUGCGCCCUUUGGUAUUCCGAAGGGCAUGCCUGUUUGAGUGUCAUUGAAUUAUCAACCUUGCUCGCUUUUACCGGCUUGAGUUAGGCUUGGACUUGAGGGCUUGCUGGCUUCCUUCAGUGGAUGGUCUGCUCCCUUUAAAUGCAUUAGUGGGAUCUCUUGUGGACCGUCACUUGGUGUGAUAAUUAUCUAUGCCACUUGACCUUGAAGCAAACCUUAUGGGAACCCGCUCAUAACCGUCUUCGGACAACUUUUGACAUUUUGACCUCAAAUCAGGUAGGACUACCCGCUGAACUUAA
rnacentral:misc_RNA from 1 species